rnacentral:tRNA from 1 species
GGUUGAUAUACUGGUUCCAAUCAUCUUGGCCUUUCGAGCCGAGGACCAGGGUUCAAAUCCCUGACCGAGCA